UACGGAGGGUGCAAGCGUUGCUCGGAAUUAUUGGGCGUAAAGGGUAGGUAGGUGGUCUCAUUUGUCUGGGGUGAAAGCCUUGAGCUUAACUCAAGAAGUGCCCCAGAAACGGUGAGACUGGAGUUCUGGAGAGGGUCGUGGAAUUCCCGGUGUAGCGGUGAAAUGCGUAGAGAUCGGGAGGAAUACCAGAGGCGAAGGCGGCGACCUGGACAGAUACUGACACUGAACUACGAAAGCGUGGGGAGCAAACAGG
rnacentral:rRNA from 1 species